rnacentral:lncRNA from 1 species
CGAGAGCAUGCGGUGGUGAAAGAGGAGGCUACGAGAUGCCGCCCGGUGUUACGAUCGGCAGCAAAUGACCACCUCGCUGUUGCUCCUAGCUGGCUUGUACCAAAAAGAUAUAAACCCUGGGCAAUGCUGUGCGGUUACUAGUGAUGGAGAUUAUGGGGACACUGCAGCUUUCUUCUCCAAUCUCAUGUGAAUAAAUCCAGGAAACUUUGUUUCCUUUUCCUGAGCAAUACCUCUGGGCUCUACGUUGUUCGCACCCAUCCCGAGAGACGGCCCGAGCCUCUGAAUUAACAAAGUUUUCAUUUCCUUCUGCUUUCUGACCCCAGGUCAGCCAAGACCAGCCAUGCAUUGUGCUGGGGAGAUUGCUCUGUCCAAGAUUGUGCUUCAGAUAAGAGUUUGGAUGAUUAUGAUUAAUACGACUGCUUUAUUUGUCUGACAGGUGGACUGAUAAAUAGAUAUUGUUGCUAGGACUACGUUCCUUCCUGAUAUGAUAAACAGUACAGACAGCCUGAAAUGCUGGUGUUUCUUGGAGAUCCGUGAAACCAGAGGUCAGGGCAGCGUGUACCUUGCCCUUUGAUUGUACUUGGAUAAAGGACUUCAGUCCUUUAAGUGAACAGUGAUGAUUUCAUCAGGACCUGACAUGUCCCUAGUUUCCAGUAAGGAAAACAAACAAAACCUCACAGUUUGAGAAUACAGCCCAGACAUGCUGAAUGCUCAUAAAAGGGCAGAAUACACAGAUCCAAUAGAAAAAGUAGCUUAAAAUGUCACCAGAAACUGUUACGAUCUUUGGCGAGAUUCUUUUCCCCCUUUAUCUGAUCUGCAUUUUUUGUUCUUUCUGUCUUUACCUUACAGGAACAGAAGAAUUUUUGGAAUUCGUCCGCAAGCAGAUACCGUGCCUGAAGCUGCCUGAACUCCCCCUGGCUGCUGCGUUUCCCAUGAACCAGGAAAACUUGGAUUAACUUCAGUCACAGCUUGCUUGAGCAAAGUCAGAUAAAAAACAUCAAACCCUGGUUCUGAGAACUUCCAUACAGGUGACUGCACAUUGGAGGAGAAGGGACUGUCCUGUUACUGCUCCCAGAGGUAUUUGCAA